GUUUUCCUGCCAAAGCAGUAAAUAUCAGGCGAGCUAACAGGCUACAUAGCGACUCCCAGUAUUAGCAGCACAGACCAUGUUUUAUCAGCCUUUAUUCACCGUAACCAGUUAACAGUUGGGCGGCUGCUGGGUAAGCGAUGAACCGACAGCCUCACGUCGUGUUAUAAGGGAGGCUCGUCCACUCAUCAAAUCUGUGUCACUUAGCUGGCUUGACAGGUUAGCAGGCUGAGUUAGCGUCUAAAAAGGAGGCUGAGUCGCUAGUGACUAUGCAAGGGGAAACCACGGCUGUACGAGUCACGGAAAACGAAGGCAGGCUGGAUGUAUUUCCCCAGAGCAAGACCCCAAGCUCGGGGAGAGCAAGUGCCAAAAGCUGGCAGUAUAGUGACCACAUGGAGAAUAUCGAUGGCUACUUGAUGAAAUAUACCAACCUUGUAACAGGGUGGCAAUACAGGUUCUUUGUCUUAAACAAUGAGGCGGGCUUGCUGGAGUACUUUGUCAACGAGCAGUCGCGGGCCCAGAAGCCCCGGGGCAUGCUCCCCCUGGCAGGGGCUGUCAUCUCGCCCAGCGACGAGGACUCGCACACCUUCACUGUCAACGCCAUCAGCGGGGAGCAGUACAAGCUCAGGGCCACCGAUGCCAAAGAGAGGCAGCACUGGGUGAGCAGACUGCAGAUCUGCACACAGCACCACACAGAGGCCAUGGGGAAGAGUAAUCCCCCACCCAAGUCCCGGAGCUACUCGAUGGCGUCUCAAGGCAGCGGUAGCUCCCCCAUGUCCCUGCGUCGGCCCAGCCAAAAUCCCCCCGCUGUAUAUGGCUUCAACAAGGGCUCGUCACUAUACUCCAGCAAGAGGUCCCUGCUGCCAGACCACCUGCUGGACGCCAGAGAGAUGAUGAGCCAGGCCCAGGGCCAGCACAGAGACCUGAUCCAGAGCAUCGAGGGCCUGCCUGCAGCCCCCGGCCUCUCCCCUCUGGACCAGGAUCUGCUCAUGCUCAAGGCCACUUCCAUGGCCACCAUGAACUGUCUCAACGAGUGCCUGCACAUCCUGCACCUGCAGCAGGUGGCCAGGCAGAGAGGCUCCCUGGGAGGACCCACCAUCGAGUGGUUGGAGCCCAAGCUGCCUGACAUCCUGAAGAACGGCAGCAGCUCCCUUGGGAGCUUCACAACAGGAGAGGGCCCGCUGGAGGGGAGCCGCCUGGAGCUCAGCAGCCCAGAGUCCUGCAGCUUCUCUGGGGAACAGGAAGACAUUGAUGCGGAAGAUGAGGCGGAGGACUGCUUCACAGACAAGGAGGAGGACCUGGGCGCUGUGGAGGAGGAGCGCAGCGUCAUCCUACACCUGCUGUCCCAGCUGAAGCUGGGCAUGGACCUCACGCGGGUGGUCCUCCCUACCUUCAUCCUAGAGAAGCGCUCUCUGCUGGAGAUGUAUGCUGACUUCAUGUCACACCCGGACCUCUUUGUGGCCAUCGCCGACGGCAGCAGCCCGGAGGACCGCAUGGUCCGGUUCGUGGAGUACUACCUCACCUCCUUCCACGAGGGCCGCAAGGGCGCCAUCGCCAAAAAGCCGUACAACCCCAUCAUCGGCGAGACCUUCCACUGCUCCUGGAAGGUACCCAGGAGAACGGACGCCUCCAAGGAGCCCUCACAGGGAAGCCCCGACCCGGCCACUUCCCAGGACCCCUAUCAAGUGCGCUUUGUGGCGGAGCAGGUGUCCCACCACCCCCCUGUGUCUGGCUUCUAUGCUGAAUGCCAGGAGAGGCAGAUGUGUGUGAACACGCAUGUGUGGACAAAGAGCAAGUUCAUGGGAAUGUCCAUCGGGGUAUCCAUGAUAGGGGAAGGUUGCUUAUAUUUGUUGGAGCAUGAUGAAGAGUACACUUUCACGCUGCCUUGUGCAUAUGCGCGCUCCAUCCUCACCGUCCCCUGGGUGGAACUGGGCGGCAAAGUCAACAUCAGCUGCACCAAAUCGGGCUACUCAGCUAUCAUCACUUUCCAGACGAAACCGUUUUAUGGGGGCAAAUUACACAAGGUAACAGCGGAGGUGAAGCACAACACCACCAAUGCAGUGGUGUGCCGUGUGCAGGGUGAGUGGAACGGUGUUUUGGAGUUCAGCUACACCAGCGGAGAGACGAGGGUAGUCGACGUCACCAAGUUGCCUGUCUCGAAGAAGAGCGUUCGACCGGUUGAGAAGCAGGGUCCGACUGAAUCCAGGCGCCUGUGGCAACAUGUGACAGAGUCCUUACGGGAGAAGGAUAUCGAAAAAGCCACGGAGCACAAGAGGCUUCUCGAGGAGAGGCAGAGGACAGAGGAGAGGCACCGCGCUGAGACCGAAACCCCUUGGAGGACCAGAUACUUUGAAAGAGAGGGUGAAGGCUGGGUCUAUCACAAACCACUUUGGAAAAACUCUGCAUUCAAAUCCUAGUUCCUUCAGUCUGUAUCUUGGAUGUUGAUAUUGUAGAUUCAGGAAUGUGUGUGUGUGUGUGUGUGUGUGUGUGUGAGAGAGAGAGAGAGAGAGUGACUGUGUGUGUGUGUGUGUCGUUGUGAGCACGCACAUGUGGUUGAUGGUUAUGAAGUGAGAGCAUGACCUGCACUGAGUUACAGCUGAAUGCAACAUGGGGAGACGGACAGAGAGAGACAGCAUGACUAAAGGUGUUCUCGAAUCUCACUCACGAUGUUCACGAAGCCUCAGAGUACAAGCUUUUGUACUGCUGAUCAGUUUUGGGUUGUUUUUUUUGUAAUCCAAUGUCAAUGAAAACAUUCUUGUACAGGUAAUGGUACUCUAUUUACACAGCCUUAAGGUAGUCUGAGGAAUGACGCUCUAAGUUUGGGUUCUGCAGAUCAACCUGGAUAUGGUUCUUUUUUUCUUUUUCUUUUUUUAGCUGUGGUAUCGGGUCAAGUGACUUUUGAGGAGUUUCUCCUAUCCUAAAAUACAAUAUUCAACAUAAUUGAACUCAAAAUAAUUGAAAUACUGCCUGAUAAUUGUAAUGCUGUGAAACUGUUGUAAAUUGAAUUCAGUAUACUGGAAUGUAAAGUUGCUGUUCAUGAUCUUCAUUUCUCUAUAACUUUUUACAUUUUAGGCCUAAAUAAGCAACAUUUUAGGCACAGUCAAAAUGUCAGCUGAUAUGCUUUGUUGGGAUUGUCUGUGUGUUGUUUCAUCAGCUUUUAUUGAUCAGAUGUUACUUAAUCCUGAUGGGUGCACUAAAGAAUGUCACAAGUUACGUCACAGCUUAAAGCAUAAAGAAAAGAGAAAAAUCCAAAACUGUUCUAACUUGGGCAGAAUUUGUUAUUUUCGUGUAGGAAUCACAGUAAGAGGUUGUUACAGAAAAUACGUCAGGGCCUUUAGGGGCCUUUAAACCCCCAAAACAGCUGACCAUACAAACACAGAAGCCUUUCCACUGUCACUGAGUACAUUUACUUGCACACAAUAUUCGGAUCUCUAGGAGUACGUAAUCAUCUUAGGGCAAUACUUUGAUAAUAACAUUGACAAUGGUACAGAUGAAUGAAUUUCUCUUUCAGAAUUUGGGGGAAUGGCUAGCCUAGCAGAAUCAUGUCUCAUUUAAUUCAUUGUAACAUGUUUUUUUUACAGGGGACUUUUUCUUCAAUGAAUUCCUACAGCAACUAGCUAAACUAAAUGCUUUCUGGCUGUAGCUACGUAUUAAGGUGACAGCACUAUCAAUCUUCUCAUCUAAGCACGAACGUGAAGCGUGAUUUUCAAGAUGUUGACUUAUAAAGGUCAAAUGUGUAACAUUUAGGGGAUCUUUUGGCAGAAAUGGGAUAUAAUAAGCAUAACUAUGUUUUAAUUUGUGCGUAAUCACCAAAGAUGAGCAUCGUCGUGGUUUUGUUACAUUAGAAUGAGAUGUUUAUAUCUACAGACAUUGUUGGUCGCCUUCCAAGGAGGGCAUGUUGAACCACAGUGUUUCUACAUAGCCCUGGACAGCUAAACCAAACACGGCCACGGUAAUUUCUCCUACAGGCUUGGACCUUUUUAAAGGGGGUACCACAGCAAUUUGGUCAUAAUCAUAAACUUGGGGGGGACUUUUGAGAGAGACAGUUUAAAAAGGAAAAAAGAAAUGCCAGAGCGAUAUUAUUACUUUCAGAGCGAUAUUAUUACUUUCAAUUCUUAUUAUGGGAUAAAAUGGGAGCUUACAAUUGCCAUAAUGCAAGGCAUUUGUGGAACGGUUUUCAUUAGACCUGCCCGUUUCAAAACCGUUUGGAACGUCUUGAGCAGUAAAAACGAUUGAAAUAAAUAAUUGGAAAUGUACAGUAAUCUCUCGUCACUAGGCCUGGCUUUCUUUUAAAGGGGGUUUUCACAUGGGGUAGGGUUUCUGUUCUCCAGUUUUCUAUCAAAUUUACAUCACAAUCCGAAACUUAAUUUACAUUAUAGGCGCCAAAGCAACAAUAUAACCAGUCUCCCAGUUUAAGAGGACAUAACCACAAUGACAUCAUUAUGACAUCUGAUGAACCUCCUCCUCCCAUGUGUAAAAUUGGUGGAAUGGCCCUUUAACCUGGCAAGGCUCGCUUUGAUUAUGACUUUAUGAGUUCACACUGUAAUUUUAAUAAUGAUUGUAUUGCCCUGAUUGGGUAAGUGGUGUGCAUGUAAAUAUACUUAAUGAUAUGAAGUCAUGCAGUUUGACUAAGUGACACUGCUUGAAUGGCAUGUCGUAGACCAAAUUUGAAAUGAUCAAAUGAUUUGAGUCACAUGUGAAUGCCUCUAAAGUUUGCUACGCCACCAUUCAUGUCUUUCUCUUUUAGUUCUGUGGUUUUGCAGUGGAUGGUAAAAUUCCUACAUGCAUGAUGGCAAAGUCUCUCUGUUCACAUUGAUUUCAGCAAGUAUACUAUUCCUGUGUCUGCAUUACGUUAAAUUUACAAAUGUCUGUCGUAAAAGCUUUUAACCAAACUUGCUUGUUUUGUAAUUCAAAUAAAUAUUCACUUUGAAUGCGUGUUUAUCCCCCAUCUCCAGCUUUAAUGGCUCUGAUUUUUAGAGCCGCUAUUUGUGAAGACUGUAACAUUUCUUGCUCUGUUGCUGUUUGCUUUCUUGUUUUUUCUUUUGGAUGUCAUUUAAAUGUGCUAUGCUGUGAUGCACAAACAUUUUGCUUCCCCCCCUCAACUAAACUUUAGCCUCACAUUCUCAAAAUCCAAGUAUCAAGUUGGACACGGAGCCUGUUCUCUACAGAAAGAGGAAAUCCACGAUUUAUAAGCUACUCCCUCCACGUCUUGGUGCCUUAUGCAAACUCUUUCUGUGUGUGUCUUCCAACGAAGCAGCACAGCAUUCUCAUCAGUUAUUUACCGAUGCAAUGGCGUAUCUUUUAUUUGUGUGUGUGUGUGUGUGUGUUUUCUUUUUGAGAAUGAGUGCUUGAUGUUGAGAGAAAUCCACUAAGCACUUGUAUUCUAGGUUUUGACAUUUUCUUGGUUUUGGAUUCUACUGGUUGUCUUGCUGACCAAUGAAAUGCACUGACAUUGAAGGAAACCUGAUGUUGUAGAAAAACGGACGUGUGAUAUUAAUCAAAUAAAUUGCGUAUCAGUUGUG